AAAAAAUUAAAUAUCGUUUUUCAUAUAAUCGUAGGGAUAUGGCCUACAAGUUUCUACCAGUUUACCGUAAAUAAACCGACUAUGAAAAGCAGAGUGAAGAUA
rfam:Bacillus sp. VT-16-70 Bacillus_obstructivus_contig179, whole genome shotgun sequence.